rnacentral:rRNA from 1 species
GACGGAAGUCUUAAUCGCCGGCGGAGGUAUAGGUGGUAGCGCAUUGUUCCGUUAUUUUGCGGAAGCCGGUAAAAAGACCGUGCUUAUUAAUGCGGAUCGAGGAUCAUCAUGGCGUAAUAUCGGUGGUGGUCGUCCAGCGUUCUCGAUCCCCGAAUUAGCGGAGAUCGCCCGUAAUAACCAAACGAUAUUCGAGGAGACACAAAAAGAAUACGAUAUCCAUUACCGUGAGAUACGCUAUAUCACGUUCGCCCACGACGAGGCUACCUACAAUGAUCUGGAACGUUCCUGCGGUUGGUCCAACGCUUAUUUGAUCGACAAGAAAGACUUCCAGAAAGAGGUGUCUCCCUACUUCAACACGAACCAAAACACCUAUUUCGCCGCACAAAUCUCCCAGCAUUGUUGGCAAGCUACCCCGGGGCGUGUGAUAGACUUUAUACGAAACAAAGGCAAAGAGCGGCAAGGUGAGGUUUUGGAAGACACACACCUAGUGGAAGUACACAAAAACGGUGGAAAAUAUCACGUCUUAUUAUAUACGCAUGAUAAGCGAUACAUCGAAUACGAAUGCGAUCAUUUCGUGAACGCCCUCGGUUAUAGCGCCGAGCGUUUCGCCCGCAUGCUAGGCCUUUACACCGGCCUCUAUCCGGUCAAGCACCAAGCGUUGAUUACCCAUCGCCUACCGAAUCUGGGUAAAGACGGGGAUAUCCUCGAUAUGUUGAUAGACCGCCGGAAACGUAACGACUUCUCCGCUGUCUCGACCACAGGCCCGGUGAAAUUGCAGUACGAGUAAAGAUGCUCGUUUCGCGCGGCAGGACGGAAAGACCCCGGGACCUUUACUAUAGCUUGGUAUUGGUGUUUGGUUCGGCUUGUGUAGGAUAGGUGGGAGACUGGGAAGCUUGCACGCUAGUGUGGGUGGAGUCGUUGUUGAAAUACCACUCUGGUCGUUCCGGGCAUCUAACUUCGGGCCCUGAUCGGGUUCAGGGACAGUGCCUGGUGGGUAGUUUAACUGGGGCGGUUGCCUCCUAAAGGGUAACGGAGGCGCCCAAAGGUUCCCUCAGCCUGGUUGGUCAUCAGGUGUUGAGUGUAAGUGUAUAAGGGAGCUUGACUGUGAGACUGACGGGUCGAGCAGGUGCGAAAGCAGGGACUAGUGAUCCGGCACUGACUGGUGGUAGUGGUGUCGCUCAACGGAUAAAAGGUACCCCGGGGAUAACAGGCUGAUCUUGCCCAAGAGUCCAUAUCGACGGCAUGGUUUGGCACCUCGAUGUCGGCUCGUCGCAUCCUGGGGCUGGAGUUGGUCCCAAGGGUUGGGCUGUUCGCCCAUUAAAGCGGCACGCGAGCUGGGUUUAGAACGUCGUGAGACAGUUCGGUCCCUAUCCGCCGCGCGCGUAGGAGUCGUGAGGAAGGCUGUCCCUAGUACGAGAGGACCGGGACGGACGGACCUCUGGUGUGCCAGUUGUUCCGCCAGGAGCAGGGCUGGUUGGCUAUGUUCGGGAGGGAUAACCGCUGAAAGCAUCUAAGCGGGAAGCCUGUUCCAAGAUGACGGUUCCCACCCCUUUUGUGGGUUAAGGCCUCCUAGAGAUGAUGGGGUUGAUAGGCCCGGCAUGGAAGUUCGGUGACGGAUGGAGUGGACGGGUACUAAUAGGCCGAGGGCUUGUCCA